UACGUGGGGUGCAAGCGUUGUCCGGAAUUAUUGGGCGUAAAGAGCUCGUAGGCGGUUUGUCGCGUCUGCUGUGAAAACUCAGGGCUUAACCCUGAGCCUGCAGUGGGUACGGGCAGACUAGAGUGUGGUAGGGGAGAUCGGAAUUCCUGGUGAAGCGGUGAAAUGCGCAGAUAUCAGGAGGAACACCGGUGGCGAAGGCGGGUCUCUGGGCCGAUACUGACGCUGAGGAGCGAAAGCGUGGGGAGCGAACAGG
rnacentral:rRNA from 1 species